GAUGAACGCUGGCGGCGUGCUUAACACAUGCAAGUCGAACGAAGCACUUAAGAUUGAUUCUUCGGAUGACGUCUUUUGUGACUUAGUGGCGGACGGGUGAGUAACGCGUGGGUAACCUGCCUCACACAGGGGGAUAACAGUUAGAAAUGACUGCUAAUACCGCAUAAACCGAUAGGAUCGCAUGAUCCAGACGGAAAAGAUUUAUCGGUGUGAGAUGGACCCGCGUCUGAUUAGCUAGGUGGUGAGGUAACGGCCCACCAAGGCGACGAUCAGUAGCCGGCCUGAGAGGGUGAACGGCCACAUUGGGACUGAGACACGGCCCAAACUCCUACGGGAGGCAGCAGUGGGGAAUAUUGCACAAUGGGGGAAACCCUGAUGCAGCGACGCCGCGUGAGUGAAGAAGUAUUUCGGUAUGUAAAGCUCUAUCAGCAGGGAAGAAAAUGACGGUACCUGACUAAGAAGCCCCGGCUAACUACGUG
rnacentral:rRNA from 1 species